rnacentral:rRNA from 1 species
GAUGAACGCUGGCGGCGUGCCUAAUACAUGCAAGUCGAGCGAACGGACGAGAAGCUUGCUUCUCUGUUGUUAGCGGCGGACGGGUGAGUAACACGUGGAUAACCUACCUAUAAGACUGGGAUAACUUCGGGAAACCGUAGCUAAUACCGGAUAAUAUUUUGAACCGCAUGGUUCAAAAGUGAAAGACGGUCUUGCUGUCACUUAUAGAUGGAUCCGCGCUGCAUUAGCUAGUUGGUAAGGUAACGGCUUACCAAGGCAACGAUGCAUAGCCGACCGGAGAGGGUGAUCGGCCACACUGGAACUGAGACACGGUCCAGACUCCUACGGGGGGAAGCAGUAGGGAAUCUUCCGCAAUGGGCGAAAGCCUGACGGAGCAACGCCGCGUGAGUGAUGAAGGUCUUCGGAUCGUAAACCUCUGUUAUUGGGGAAGAACAUAUGUGUAAGUAACUGUGCACAUCUUGACGGUACCUAAUCAGAAAGCCACGGCUAACUACGUG